rnacentral:rRNA from 1 species
AGCUUGCUAGAACCUGUAUACAGGUGCUGCACGGCUGUCGUCAGCUCGUGUCGUGAGAUGUUGGGUUAAGUCCCGCAACGAGCGCAACCCACGUGAUUAGUUACUAACAGUUCGGCUGAGGACUCUAAUCAGACUGCCUUCGUAAGGAGGAGGAAGGUGUGGACGACGUCAAGUCAUCAUGGCCCUUACGGCCAGGGCUACACACGUGCUACAAUGGGGUAUACAGAGAGCCGCAAUACCGCGAGGUGGAGCAAAUCUUAAAAAUAUCUCCCAGUUCGGAUAGUAGUCUGCAACUCGACUACUUGAAGUUGGAAUCGCUAGUAAUCGUAGAUCAGCAAUGCUACGGUGAAUACGUUCCCGGGUCUUGUACUCACCGCCCGUCACACCAUGGGAGUUGAAUUCAUUCGAAGCGGGGAUGCUAAAAUAGCUACCUUCCACAGUGGAUUUAGUAACUAGGGUGAAGUCGUAACAAGGUA